UAGCCCUUUCUACACCUUAUUUUCAACCGUAAAUCAUUUUCACCAGUUUUCCUGCACGAAUACCGAGAGAAACCAAAGUGUGUUCUUCGUGUUCUUCGUAAUCAAACGAGGAUUUGGAGGUGUUAUUGGAAUCCGAUGGAGGCGUAUGAAUAGUCAAAACGAAGCUAUCGACGUGUAGAUUAUAGUUUAAUCAUUCGUUUGUGUGCAGAUUCAACAGGAUUUGGACGAGACGUGUACGCUCGAAGACGUCAGGAAGUCGAAAUGGUAUUGCAAAGCGAAUAAGGGAUGAAUCGAGUAAGCGAAGCGAAGUGGUGAAUAGAGUAUAGCUAGAGAUGGUCUAGAGAUUUCGAAAUGCAUAGAUUGUGAAAGUUGAAAGAUGAGGUUGAGCUAUGAAACUGGAGUCAGAUUUAAGGCAAGCUGAAAGAUGAAAUGAUUGAUUGAGAUCGUGAAUAAGGCUAAUGCUAGGCGAGGAGACAGAGUUGAGAAUCCAGUGGUCGAGGAGUGUUCAGGAAAGUUGAUGAGGUUGGUACAAGCUAGAGCUGUGCUAUAGAGAUUCAGAUGUAAGUCAUGGCUGGAAUAGAUUGAUUGGCAGUGAUUCUUCUUAUCGAAGAUGAUCUGAUUUGGUAAGAGAUGUUGUGUAAUAAUAGUGGUAGAUUCUAAUUUCAAUACUGUAACCUGGAUGCGAUCCUGUUGCUUUUAGGGGGUUUAAAUGUUCUUUUUCGAAUCAUUUAUUAAAGUUUAAAUGUUCUCUUGAAAUUCUCCUAUUAUGGUUUUCAAGUUUGAAAUUCA